AUGACCAGGAGCCAUGAUGAGAAUGCCUACAGGCAGCAACAGCAGGUGUUUGGUAGAGACUGGAGAAAGAGAAAAUCAGUUCGUGGUUGCAUUAUGGAUGCCAAUCUGAGUGUUCUCAACUUGGUUAUUGUAAAAAAAGGAGAGAAGGAUAUUCCUGGACUGACUGAUACUACAAUGCCUCGCCGCCUGGCGCCCAAAAGAGCUAGCAGAAUCCGCAAACUUCUCAAUCUCUCUAAAGAAGAUGAUGUCCGCUGGUAUGUCACAAGAAAGCCCUUAAACAAAGAAGGUAAGAAACCUAGGACCAAAGGGCCCAAGAUUCAGUGUCUUGUUACUCUUCACAUCCUGCAGCACAAACGGCAGUGUACUGCUCUGAAAAAGCAGCAUACUAAGAAAAAUAAGGAAGAGGCUGCAGGAUAUGCUGAACUUUGGCCAAGAGAAUGAAGGAAGCUAAAGAGAAGUGCCAAGAACAAAUUGCGAAGAGACGCGGACUUUCUUCUCCGCGAGGUUCUACUUCUAAGUCUGAAUCCAGUCAGAAAUAA